GUGGGGAAUCUUGCACAAUGGAGGAAACUCUGAUGCAGCGAUGCCGCGUGAGUGAAGAAGGCCCUUGGGUUGUAAAGCUCUUUCGUCGGGGAAGAAAAUGACUGUACCCGAAUAAGAAGGU
rnacentral:rRNA from 1 species